rnacentral:tRNA from 1 species
ACUGGGUUGGCCGAGUGGUUAAGGCGUUGGACUUAAGGUCCAAUGGACAAGUGUCCGCGUGGGUUCGAACCCCACACCCAGUA